CUUGGUCAUUUAGAGGAAGUAAAAGUCGUACAAGGUUUCCGUAGGUGAACCUGCGGAAGGAUCAUUACAGAGUUCAUGCCCUCGGGGUAGACCUCCCACCCUUUGUAUACAUUGCCUUUGUUGCUUUGCGGGCCGCCGCGCCCGCGUCCACCGGCUUCGGCUGGUGUGCGCCCGCCGAGAACCCCCAAACCCUGUUUUACAGUGUCGUCCGAGUACUAUAUAAUAUUAAAACUUUCAACAACGGAUCUCUUGGUUCUGGCAUCGAUGAAGAACGAGCGAAAUGCGAUAAUUAAUGUGAAUUGCAGAAUUUAGUGAAUCAUCGAUCUUUGAACGCACAUUGCGCCCCUUGGUAUUCCGGGGGGCAUGCCUGUUGAGCGUCAUUUCAACCCUCAAGCUCUGCUUGGUCUUGGGCCGCGCCGGCACGGCGGGCCUCAAAAACAGUGGCGGCGCCAUCGUGUCCCUCAGCGUAGAAUUCUUCUCGCUGCUGGUGCCCGGUGGCCGCUGGCCAGCAACCCCAAAUUUUCUAUGGUUGACCUCGGAUCAGGUAGGGAUACCCGCUGAACUUAAGAUAUCAAUAAGCGGAGGA
rnacentral:rRNA from 1 species